AGGACGACGCUGGCGGCGUGCCUAACACAUGCAAGUCGAGCGGAGUCGAUCGACGGAAGCCUUCGGGCGGAAGAUGGUUGACUUAGCGGCGGAUGGGUGAGUAACGCGUGGGCAACCUGCCUCGAAGACCGGGAUAACAGCCCGAAAGGGCUGCUAAUACCGGAUGUGGUCAAGGAUCCGCAUGGAUUUUGAUUAAAGGGGAAACCCGUUUCGAGAUGGGCCCGCGUCCUAUCAGCUAGUUGGUGAGGUAAAAGCUCACCAAGGCGACGACGGGUAGCCGGCCUGAGAGGGUGACCGGCCACACUGGAACUGAGACACGGUCCAGACUCCUACGGGGGGCAGCAGUGGGGAAUCUUCCACAAUGGGCGAAAGCCUGAUGGAGCGACGCCGCGUGAGCGAAGAAGGCCUUCGGGUUGUAAAGCUCUGUCUGGAGGGACGAAGGAAGUGACGGUACCUCCGGAGGAAGCCACGGCUAACUACGUG
rnacentral:rRNA from 1 species